AUUGAACGCUGGCGGCAUGCCUUACACAUGCAAGUCGAACGGCAGCACGGGAGCAAUCCUGGUGGCGAGUGGCGAACGGGUGAGUAAUAUAUCGGAACGUGCCCAGUCGUGGGGGAUAACGCAGCGAAAGCUGUGCUAAUACCGCAUACGAUCUACGGAUGAAAGCGGGGGAUCGCAAGACCUCGCGCGAUUGGAGCGGCCGAUAUCAGAUUAGCUAGUUGGUGGGGUAAAGGCCCACCAAGGCGACGAUCUGUAGCUGGUCUGAGAGGACGACCAGCCACACUGGAACUGAAGCACGGUCCAGACUCCUACGGGAGGCAGCAGUGGGGAAUUUUGGACAAUGGGCGCAAGCCUGAUCCAGCAAUGCCGCGUGCAGGAUGAAGGCCUUCGGGUUGUAAACUGCUUUUGUACGGAACGAAACGGCCCUUUCUAAUACAGGGGGCUAAUGACGGUACCGUAAGAAUAAGCACCGGCUAACUACGUGCCAGCCGCCGCCGUAA
rnacentral:rRNA from 1 species